GCCGGCGUAGCUCAGUUGGUAGAGCACCUGAUUUGUAAUUAGGUUGUCACGGGUUCAAAUCCUGUCGCCGGCUCCA
rnacentral:tRNA from 2 species